rnacentral:lncRNA from 1 species
UUGCUCUCAGCUGAACUUCAUUUGCUUCGGAAAAGAAGCAACGUGAGGUUUUGUUUUUUUUUUCAGGCUUACUACUUGUAAGGUGAACCUGGGAUUCUUUUAAGGGCAAACGAAAGUCAAGAAAUUAAAUAGGAAUAUGAAUCUCCAGAAUUUCUAUUAGCAAUGAUGAGAUUCAGUUUUUUGCUUGCAUCCCUCAUGUGAUCAUCUGCAUGAAAAAGGGUGGGAUGCUGGAUGGUGACAAAGUGGUCCCAAAUCUCAAGGCUUUUUCCACCAAUUGAUCAAGCUGAACUCAAGUGGAGAACUGCUAUUUGGAGUUCUAUUUCUUGGGUGACCAUGAGUGAGAGGUGGUGCAAUGCAUAA